GAUGAACGCUGGCGGCGUGCUUAACACAUGCAAGUCGAACGGAAAGGCCCAAGCUUGCUUGGGUACUCGAGUGGCGAACGGGUGAGUAACACGUGGGUGAUCUGCCCUGCACUUCGGGAUAAGCCUGGGAAACUGGGUCUAAUACCGGAUAGGACCACAUUUUGGAUGGUGUGGUGGAAAGUUUUUCGGUGUGGGAUGAGCUCGCGGCCUAUCAGCUUGUUGGUGGGGUAAUGGCCUACCAAGGCGUCGACGGGUAGCCGGCCUGAGAGGGUGUACGGCCACAAUGGGACUGAGAGACGGCCCAGACCCCUACGGGAGGGAGCAGGGGGGAAUAUUGCACAAUGGGCGCAAGCCUGAUGCAGCGACGCCGGGUGGGGGAUGACGGCCUUCGGGUUGUAAACGCCUUUCGCUAGGGACGAAGCGUUAUGUGACGGUACCUGGAGAAGAAGCACCGGCUAACUACGUG
rnacentral:rRNA from 1 species